rnacentral:rRNA from 1 species
UGGCGCACGGGUGCGUAACGCGUGGGAACCUGCCCUUAGGUUCGGAAUAACUCCCCGAAAGGGGUGCUAAUACCGGAUAAUGUCUUCGGACCAAAGAUUUAUCGCCUUUGGAUGGGCCCGCGUAGGAUUAGCUAGUUGGUGGGGUAAAGGCCUACCAAGGCGACGAUCCUUAGCUGGUCUUAGAGGAUGAUCAGCCACACUGGGACUGAGACACGGCCCAGACUCCUACGGGAGGCAGCAGUGGGGAAUAUUGGACAAUGGGCGAAAGCCUGAUCCAGCAAUGCCGCGUGAGUGAUGUAGGCCUUAGGGUUGUAAAGCUCUUUUACCCGGGACGAUAAUGACAGUACCGGAAGAAUAAGCCCCGGCUAACUCCGUGCCAGCAGCCGCGGUAAUACGGAGGGGGCUAGCGUUGUUCGGAAAUACUGGGCGUAAAGCGCACGUAGGCGGCGCAGCAAGUCAGGGGGUGAAAUCCCGGGGCUCAACCCCGGAACUGCCCUUGAAACUGCAGUGCUAGAAUUCUGGAGAGGCGAGUGGAAUUCCGAGUGU